rnacentral:rRNA from 1 species
UACAUAGAGUGCGAGCAUUGUCCGGAAUUAUUGGGCAUAAAGGGCUCGUAGGCGGUUUGUCGCGUCGGGAGUGAAAUCCAUUGGCUUAACUGGUGGCUUGCUUUCGAUACGGGCAGACUGGAGGUAUGCAGGGGAGAACGGAAUUCCUGGUGUAGCGGUGAAAUGCGCAGAUAUCAGGAGGAACACCGGUGGCGAAGGCGGUUCUCUGGGCAUGUCCUGACGCUGAGGAGCGAAAGCGUGGGGAGCGAACAGG